rnacentral:ncRNA from 2 species
UUGAAUGAGUACCUGUCAGGUGCCUUUUACCCCGGAUGGUAAGGCUUGAAGGCGAAACCGGUGCAAGUCCGGUGCUGUCGCGCAACUGUAAGGAGGGAAUCCCUCUAAGCCAGGUCGCCCGCCCAGCAGGUGUUCACCAC